CUCCAAUCAUGUCCAUCCAUCUACUGUAUCUCUGUCUAUUGUCUGUCUCUAUCUCUUUUUCUGUAUGUCUCUGUAUGGAUUUGUUAAAAAAAAUUGUUAAAUAUUUCUUGUAUGGAAUCAAAUUUUUUUUCUUCCAGAAAAAAAAAAAAAAAAAAAAAGAAAACUGUGCACCAUCCACCAGCUACCUGACAGCUCAGAGUACUGUGCACCAUCCACCAGCUACCUGAUAGCUUCAAGUACUGUGCACCCUCCACCAGCUACCUGACAGCUUCAAGUGCUGUGCACCAUCCACCACCUACCUGACAGCUCAGAGUACUGUGCAUCAGACAAAAAAAAAUAAAAAAAAAAAAUAAAAAAAAGAAAAAAAAAUAAAAAAUAAAAUAAAAAACCUGUGCACCAUCCACCAGCUACCUGACAGCUCAGAGUACUGUGCACCAUCCACCACCUACCUGACAGCUCAGAGUACUGUGCAUCGGACAAAAAAAUACAAAAAAUAAAAAAUAAAACAAAGAAAAGGUAAA